rnacentral:misc_RNA from 1 species
UGGUGGCAAUACCACUGGACGACUCGCUCGCCAACUUCUCAAUGGGUGUUCCGCGCGUCCAUCGCAUGGAACGAUGGUUGGUUCCUGUGCUAUUUACCGUGAUUGUGGAAUUCGAUGUCUUGCUAUCAGCUCCCUCCAUCGAUUGCCUUCAGGGGCAGUGGGUGGACAACAUAGUAGUCCCCUUGGCCCACGCUUUGCCUAGACGCUCGAUGAGCGCGACACUGUGAUGGGCCACGGGUGCUUACUCGAUCUCUCGGAUGCGGAACGUCUAAACGGCAUGUGGCCCCGCAGCCUCUACGUGCCUCGAUAAUCCUGCACCGAUCGAAUGACGCUCGUGCCUUGCCAACCUCGCCCCCCGGCCUCGUGCCGGCGAGGCAGGUGGCAACACUGACGUCGUCAAUGGAUGCUACCUGGUUGAUCCUGCCAGUAGUCAUAUGCUUGUCUCAAAGAUUAAGCCAUGCAUG